CGGUGGUGAGAGCGUGUGAUUGUAGUGCUCACUUAAAUCAUCACUGGAUCUCGCUGACGGCCGAUAGAGUGAUCGUUUUCGCAUUUGAUAAGGGAGAUAAGCCAAUACGGGAUAUUAUACUUACUUGCCGCGGAGGAGAAUGCCGUUCUGCUAGAUCUCUGAGACGGAUCCAGCCAUGAGCGGCCGGCAGUGGGUCUACCGUCGGGGGGGCACCGGUGUGGGGGCGCCCCUCCUGGCCCUCGUGCUGACCAUGGCCGCCCUGCCUGCACGAGCCUUCAACAUGGAAACCUGCGACGGGAAGCCUCAUCAGGUCACGAUUAACACACAGGCGGAGGCUUACUUGGGCGUGGUGGUCGGCGCGUCGCGGGCGGGCGAGGGCAUGAUCGGGUGCGGCG